rnacentral:snRNA from 1 species
UUUCUUACCCGGACGGGGUCAAUGACUGAUCAAUAAGACCCAUGGCUUAUGCUGGCGACCUCCAUUGCACUUCGGAGGGGCGCCUGUGGAAGGUCAAGCCUGCGUCAUAAUUUGUGUCUGUAGGGGCUUGCAUUCGCGCGGCCCCCAC